UACGGGGGGUGCAAGCGUUAUCCGGAUUCACUGGGUUUAAAGGGUGUGUAGGCGGAUUUUUAAGUCAGUGGUGAAAUCUCCGGGCUCAACCCGGAAACUGCCAUUGAUACUAUUAGUCUUGAAUUCUGUUGAGGUGGGCGGAAUACAUCAUGUAGCGGUGAAAUGCUUAGAUAUGAUGUAGAACACCGAUUGCGAAGGCAGCUCACUAAGCAGACAUUGACGCUGAGGCACGAAAGCGUGGGGAUCAAACAGG
rnacentral:rRNA from 1 species